UCCAAGGAUAAUCUCCCAGGGCCUCAUUCGACAAUACAUAUUUCCCAACUUCCCCAGGCAGAAGUCCGCAGAAGGCCGCAGAACUCCGCAGAAGGCCGCAGAACUCCGCAGAAGGCCGCAGAACUCCGCAGAAGUCCGCACACAGUAAGGAAGUUGCCUCCGCGUCCAGCCCGCUGAUUGAGCAGGCCGAGAGCCAAUGCGCAAAGAAGGUCCACUAAUUAUGGAGAACCAAAGUUUUUUCUUAAAACUGACGGGACAAUCGAUGAACCUGACCACUGCAGACAUGGACUUCCCUAAACUUCAAUCUGUGGAGAGAGGCCUCAGAGUCUUCACUCGCUAUUUCAUUUUCAGGCUCCUUCCAGCAAAAUAAAAGUAAAAACAACAGCUA